UUUAUAUGCGACCGUUGGGUUGGUGCGAUCAGCUGGGACACCUGUUAUUUCUCAGAGCGAGCAGAUGGACCUCCCAGGCCCAGCCCUGGACCCUCUUACAUUUAUGCUCCCAGCCAAGGACCGUAGGGCUGAGGAGGCUGGCAGAAGAAGGCAGCCCAAACCCUGGCAAGCUACCCGACAACCAGCUUUCUACACGGCUCCUCUACCACAAAAUCGGAACUCAGAGGUCUCAGGUCACAUCUUGGUACCAGAGAUGGUCCCUUGCUCUAAAUCUAGCCAGUUCUGGUGUCCUUCACAGCUGCUUCUCCUCCUGUGCUCCCACCGGGAAGAGUCCUUCAUGAUGUCCUCAGCCUUUCUCCACAGACCCCCCUCCAGGAUUGAACCAGGACUGAUCCAAAGUUGAUCAAAGCUAUUCCGGGGACUUCCAAUCUCUGGUUCUGAAUCCAGGACCCAAGCCCAAAUCAAACAGAGCAGACUUACCCUCAGGAAGUCGUCCUGGAGCCAAAAUAGAGGACCUGCUGUGGUUCCACAUCCUUCCUGGCCCUUGUCAGAUGGCUUCUGUAGCUUCUCCAUGCCAACUGUAGAGCCUGCGGUGGCGGUCCUCAAGCACAGCUGGUCAGAAACCAGUGUCUACGUCACUCUUCUGUGUUGGGCAACGCCAUCAGGUGAACAAGACACCGGCAAUAUUGGGGAUGCAGCUUUUCUUUCACACUAGCUACAAGACAAGAAAGGACCACGCUUAUAAGGGGAACACUGGAGACAAAGAGGGCAGGAAAGCAUAGCGGAGCCCUUCCCUUCUCAGGCUCAGCAACGUUCCCACUGUUUUCAAUGGGCAAAUGUGAGAAUCAAGAGGAAUCACAGGGUGGGGAAGCAAAGUAUCCCGGUGCCCAAAAUGAGGUGGGAAAGGCAGGGACAAAGCACCAAGUGGCAGAAGUAUGCUUAGGUUUGUUUCAGAAAUUCUCAGAAAUUCUGCCCUAAACCCGAUCCCAGUCUUACUGAAUGAUUUUCUUUAAUGGAUCUCAAAGCCGGAAGUGGGGGAGGGGCAAUCAUAAAUUUUUAUCUGCUCUGCUGUUCAUUUGAUCUGAACACGAAUCUCUGAUUGAUGGGCUGAGGCCAAGGCCAGGCCUGUUUGGCCAAUCUAAAUUUGAAUGCUAGCCCCUUUCUCUUGGACUUAGCAAGAAAUCCAGUCUUAGCUUGUUCUAGCAUUCCCUGCUUGCCUGCCUUCUCCUAGCACCAUAGCUUCAUGACGUCCAAACUGAAGCUGCAAAGCUGUGACAGCUGGGACACUGUUAACCUCUUCUCAGAGACAGGGGGACUGAGCUAUAGACUGUAUUACAGCCCAUGGCAAACCAGCCUAGCACCGAGUACAGUAGGUAUCAUGGCUACUACCCAAGUAAGCCUAUCUCUGCUCCUCAGACCAGAGCAUGAUGGCUGCCUGGAUCUGUUGCAGGAGAAAGUCAAAUGCCCCUUCAGACAAUGGCCCACACCCGAAACAGUCAUAUGGCUUCAAGACUAGAGCACGUAGUUCCUAGGGGAGACCCUCCAGAGCUCUCUUUCCAGUGCACACAAGAGCUCUGUAGAAUGAGUGCACUGAAGAGAAGGUUCAUCUGUUUAGUGCGGGUACUCCCAAGAGAUUUAAAGCAAGCAGGAGUUUCUAGGUUCAAUCCUCAGCAUCCCUUGAACUGCACAUGAGGGGGCGCACUUAGAAUCCUGGCACUCAGAAGGUAGGGGCAGGAGGAUCAGAAGUUUAAGGUCAUCCUCUGCUACAUAGGAAGCUUGGGGCCAACCCUGGAACCCAGGAGAGGGUGUCUUAAAAGUAAAUAAAAUAAUAAAUGUAAUAGUUCU
rnacentral:lncRNA from 1 species